AACGGUCUGGUCCAAAUGUCUGGUCUUCACAGCUAUCCUGAGACCGAUGCUGUUCUUUCUCACCCUUCUUUUCGCAGACUGAGAAACUGAGGCAGAGAGGUUUCAGGUCACAUAAGAACGUGAACUUGUGGAGGGCAGGGCCCUGCAUCACGGAUCUCUGCCCAGCACAGCCCUGGCUCAAGAAAAGUGAGAAAGACCAGGUUCCCCACUGCGGGGCCCGCCCCUCAGAUGCUACAGACACAGAGUCGGCUUCCUCCCCUUAGAAUAUGGUUCUGGAGACCCACAGCAUUGCGAAGGCAGAGAAACCGGUGAUCAUUGCCACUGCUGGGCCUUAGACCAUGCCUCUGACUCAAAGGAAGUGCCCUUGGGAGUGAAGAGCCCCGGGUUUGGUGUGGCACCAGAAGCUUCGGUUGCUCUUUCUGACCUCAUUUUUCCUGUGCUGCACUGGCCCUUGGAGAGGACCCACUGCUGGGUCUUUCAAUGCUGAGGGAGGUGCCUGGCCUCCCACGUGGGCUGUGACCACGCUCACACAUCAGGUGCCCCUCUCGGUGCUGACUGGGUGCCCUCCUCGUGAGCCCUUCAGUGCGGCUCAGACCAGCCUUUGCAUGAAUCCACUCCGCUUCCUAACUUGGCUGCUACCUGUCAUGUCUCUCCAUAAGCCCAGAUGCCACUGAGUGGCUUGAGACCACAUGCAGCACAGCCGGGCACGCCCCUGCAUCUGUCUCCCAGGCUCCCGGCCUCUACAGAGAACCUAAGUGCCGUGCAAAGCCCACUUUCCAAACAACCGCCAGUCUGGAAUUGGGUGCCACAGCUCACAGCAAUAGAGCAGGUCAGAUCCCUACCCCUUCAAGUAACAGCUGGAGGGAACAACUGUGAAAUCCCCAUCCCUGGGUGAUCUGUUAGAGAAAUUAGGUCACACCUGUGAUAAGGUGCAAUAUGGCCCAUAAAAAAGAAAGUGAAACUCUCUCUUUUAGCCAUAUUGCUGAGUAAAAGCAGAAUGGAAGAGAACCAUGGUAUAUAUGUGAAAACAAAAGACUAGGCAUCUAUUUUCCUUUAUAAUGGAUGUAUUUCCUUAGCUCAGUAUUUCUCGUCAAGGGAAUCUGAUGGAAGGCACUGGAAGUUGGCAAACCUUUUCUGUGAAGGACCAGAUGGUAAAUAUUCUGGGCUUCACGGGCCGGAGGUCUCCAUCGCAGCUCCUUGGGUCUGCUGCUGCAGCCGGAAAGACAAAACGUACAUGGGCAGUGGCUGCAGCCCCAGUGGCACACAGACUUGAAAAGACUUGGCAGAGAAAACCCUUCCAAAAGUCCCUCCAGAGAUGUCCCUCUAGAUCCCUUUGGCCGAGACUAUUCCA